rnacentral:rRNA from 1 species
CCUACGGGUGGCAGCAGUGAGGAAUAUUGGUCAAUGGGCGAGAUCCUGAACCAGCCAAGCCGCGUGAGGGAUGACUGCCCUACGGGUUGUAAACCUCUUUUGUCAAGGAACAAAGUGCGGCACGUGUGCCUUAAUGCGUGUACCUUAUGAAUAAGCAUCGGCUAACUCCGUGCCAGCAGCCGCGGUAAUACGGAGGAUGCGAGCGUUAUCCGGAUUUAUUGGGUUUAAAGGGUGCGUAGACGGUAUGUUAAGUCAGUGGUAAAAUUUGGGGGCUAAACCCCUCAACGCCAUUGAAACUGGCAGACUUGAGUAGAGGCGAGGUAGGCGGAAUUCGUGGUGUAGCGGUGAAAUGCAUAGAUAUCGCGAAGAACUCCGAUUGCGAAGGCAGCUUACCAGACUGACACUGACGCUGAUGCACGAAAGCGUGGGUAUCGAACAGGAUUAGAUACCCCGGUAGUC